UACAGAGGGUGCAAGCGUUGUUCGGAAUUAUUGGGCGUAAAGGGCGCGUAGGCGGUGCGGUAAGUCUGUAGUGAAAUCUCUGGGCUCAACUCAGAGUCUGCUGCAGAAACUGCCGUGCUUGAGUGUGGGAGAGGUGAGUGGAAUUCCCGGUGUAGCGGUGAAAUGCGCAGAUAUCGGGAAGAACACCCGUGGCUAAGGCGGCUCUCUAGUACGGUACUGACGCUGAAGCGCGAAAGCGUGGGGAGCAAACGGG
rnacentral:rRNA from 1 species